GCAACUGCUAGGGGAGAAGCCGCGGAAAUACAGAUGUUCUAAGCGUGAUGCUGAUUGGUGGGGCGUAAAGUGGGCGUAGGUGGCGCCGUAUGUCAGUUGUGAAAUUUCGGCGCUUAACUCCGAAUCUGCAUUUGAUACUGCGGUGCUUGAGGACUGGAGAGGAGACUGGAAUUUACGGUGUAGCAGUGAAAUGCGUAGAUAUCGUAAGGAAGACCAGUGGCGAAGGCGUGUCUCUGGACAGUUCCUGACACUGAGGCACGAAGGCCAGGGGAGCAAACGGGAUUAGAUACCCUUGUAGUC
rnacentral:rRNA from 1 species